UAGGGAAUCUUCGGCAAUGGGGGGAACCCUGACCGAGCAACGCCGCGUGAGUGAAGAAGGUUUUCGGAUCGUAAAGCUCUGUUGUUAAGGAAGAACGAGUGUGAGAAUGGAAAGUUCAUGCUGUGACGGUACUUAACCAGAAAGGGACGGCUAACUACGUGCCAGCAGCCGCGGUAAUACGUAGGUCCCGAGCGUAGUCCGGAUUUAUUGGGCGUAAAGCGAGCGCAGGCGGUUAGAAAAGUAUGAAGUGAAAGGCAGUGGCUCAACCAUUGUAGGCUUUGGUAACUGUUUAACUUGAGUGCAGAAGGGGAGAGUGGAUUUCCAUGUGUAGCGGUGAAAUGCGUAGAUAUAUGGAGGAACACCGGUGGCUAAAGCGGCUCUCUGGUCUGUAACUGACGCUGAGGCUCGAAAGCGUGGGGAGCGAACAGG
rnacentral:rRNA from 1 species